rnacentral:rRNA from 1 species
AUUGAACGCUGGCGGCAGGCCUAACACAUGCAAGUCGGACGAGUGGCGGACGGGUGAGUAAUGUAUGGGGAUCUGCCUGAUGGAGGGGGAUAACUACUGGAAACGGUAGCUAAUACCGCAUACCAUCAGAUGUGCCCAGAUGGGAUUAGCUUGUAGGUGAGGUAACGGCUCACCAAGGCGACGAUCCCUAGCUGGUCUGAGAGGAUGAGCAGCCACACGGGAACUGAGACACGGCCCAGACUCCUACGGGAGGCAGCAGUGGGGAAUAUUGCACAAUGGGCGCAAGCCUGAUGCAGCCAUGCCGCGUGUAUGAAGAAGGCCUUCGGGUUGUAAAGUACUUUCAGUCGGGAGGCGUUACCCGCAGAAGAAGCACCGGCUAACUCCGUGCCAGCCGCCGCGGUAAUUC